UGCCGUGAACUGAGGGGACAAGUCUCCUCCUUCAGAUCCGGCAGCGGCAGAGCCGCCAAUUUCGCACAUCCAAGGAG
ncrna:unclassified sequences L20-Deltaproteobacteria ribosomal protein leader